UACAUAACUUAAUAACAUACUCGACUUUCGAACAACACAUGAAGGAAGCAGUCAUCAUCUCUGCUGGAUGUCCAUAUCAAAUAAGGAAAGUUAAGUCUUGUGUCGAUGUGGUUCUGAGCUUUUUCUCGCCUGAACACGUUACCGAAUCUAUCCAAACAGUGGAUAAGCUCUGUCUCCUUCCCCAACACCAUAAAUCAAGAGGAAAUAUGAUCGAGGUAAAGAAAAUGGCAAUCCACAAAAUCAGUGAAGCAGUGAAGGAAAUCCGCCUACUCACGUCUUCAGAUUCAACCAUUCCGUUGAAAUAACCACAGGGUUUUAGCAUCUCCUUCAAGCCAAAGAUCCGUCCACCCAUUUUCAAGAACUAACUCUAAUCCUCUCUUCAGAGCGGCGAAUUCAGCCAUGGAGCUCGUGGCUUUCCCUAUGGAUUCUGAGUAUCCGAGAAGAAACUCGGCUUUGUGGUUUCUGAAUAUCCCUCCGAUGCUGGCUUGCCCUUCUCUUCCUAUGCUGGAGCCGUCGAAGUUUAGCUUUGUCCAUCCGAUCUCGGGUUUCUUCCAGACAACUUGAAUAGGUUGUUUCUGGUAGUUUCUGAUGAAUACCAAACGGCUAACCCGAGAUUGGAUCAAUCCAACAGUCUUUGAGAAGGCUAACAUUGCUUUUAUCGAUAACUUCUCCCCGAAGAAACUCAUAAGAACCUCGGAUUUUGACCAGAUUUAUGUCCUAACACUGUGACAGAAUUCUAUGUACAUGGUUUGAUCAAUGGUUUAGGGUUCACGAUCAAAGGGGAACCCAAAUAACUCUAA